GAAGGUGCAAAGUGGGAUAUCGGCACCAGAGCUGAUUCGGGCAAGGUGAUACCCGAGCCUCGACGUGGCAACCUGUAAACAGCAGAGGCGGUGCGGGCGAGCGGCCAAGAUGCUGCAAGAGGCUCAGAGGGGCGAAGCCGCAUGCUG